rnacentral:rRNA from 1 species
UACGUAGGGGGCAAGCGUUGUCCGGAUUUAUUGGGCGUAAAGAGCGUGUAGGCGGCUUUACAGGUCCGUUGUGAAAACUCGAGGCUCAACCUCGAGACGCCGGUGGAAACCGUAAAGCUAGAGUCCGGAAGAGGAGAGUGGAAUUCCUGGUGUAGCGGUGGAAUGCGCAGAUAUCAGGAGGAACACCGGUGGCGAAGGCGGGUCUCUGGGCAGUAACUGACGCUGAGGAGCGAAAGCGUGGGGAGCGAACAGG